rnacentral:misc_RNA from 1 species
AAGUCGUAACAAGGUUUCCGUAGGUGAACCUGCGGAAGGAUCAUUACUGAGUUAGGGUCUUCUAGGCCCGACCUCCAACCCUCUGUUUAUUAUACCAUGUUGCUUUGGUGGGCCCGCCCUUUAGGGGCCGCCGGAUUAUUUACUUCUGGCCAGUGCCCGCCAGUAGCCUUCUUAAAUUCUUUUUAUAACUGUGUUGUCUGAGUAUAAAUUUAAAUUAUUUAAAACUUUCAACAACGGAUCUCUUGGUUCUG